GCGGCGGUAGUCUAGCCUGGUUUAGGAUGGCGGCCUGCCAAGCCGUUGAUCCCGGGUUCAAAUCCCGGCCGCCGCACCA
rnacentral:tRNA from 11 species